AGGACGAACGCUGGCGGCGUGCUUAACACAUGCAAGUCGAACGAGGUCCAACUAGUCGCAAGACGGGGGAAGACCGAGUGGCGAACGGGUGAGUAACACGUGAGGAACGUGCCCCGGAGACCGGGAUAACAGCGGGAAACCGCUGCUAAUACCGGAUACCUUCUUUUGACCGCAUGGUCAGCUGAAGAAAUGGAUUCCGCUCCGGGAGCGCCUCGCGGUCUAUCAGCUUGUUGGUGGGGUAACGGCCUACCAAGGCUUCGACGGAUAGCUGGUCUGAGAGGACGAUCAGCCACACUGGGACUGAGACACGGCCCAGACUCCUACGGGAGGCAGCAGUGGGGAAUCUUGCCCAAUGGGCGAAAGCCUGAGGCAGCAACGCCGCGUGUGGGAUGAAGGCCCUUGGGUUGUAAACCACUUUCAGCAGGACGAAAAUGACGGUACUGCAGAAGAAGCCCGGCCAACUACGUGCCAGCAGCCGC
rnacentral:rRNA from 1 species